GAUGAACGCUGGCGGCGUGCCUAAUACAUGCAAGUCGAGCGAACAGACGAGGAGCUUGCUCCUCUGACGUUAGCGGCGGACGGGUGAGUAACACGUGGAUAACCUACCUAUAAGACUGGGAUAACUUCGGGAAACCGGAGCUAAUACCGGAUAAUAUAUUGAACCGCAUGGUUCAAUAGUGAAAGACGGUUUUGCUGUCACUUAUAGAUGGAUCCGCGCCGCAUUAGCUAGUUGGUAAGGUAACGGCUUACCAAGGCGACGAUGCGUAGCCGACCUGAGAGGGUGAUCGGCCACACUGGAACUGAGACACGGUCCAGACUCCUAGGGGAGGCAGCAGUAGGGAAUCUUCCGCAAUGGCGAAAGCCUGACGGAGCAACGCCGCGUGAGUGAUGAAGGUCUUCGGAUCGUAAAACUCUGUUAUUAGGGAAGAACAAAUGUGUAAGUAACUAUGCACGUCUUGACGGUACCUAAUCAGAAAGCCACGGCUAACUACGUG
rnacentral:rRNA from 1 species